rnacentral:rRNA from 1 species
CAGCCGCCACGGGAAUACGGAGGGAGCUAGCGUUGUUCGGAAUUACUGGGCGUAAAGCGCGCGUAGGCGGUUACUCAAGUCAGAGGUGAAAGCCCGGGGCUCAACCCCGGAACUGCCUUUGAAACUAGGUGACUAGAAUCUUGGAGAGGUCAGUGGAAUUCCAAGUGUAGAGGUGAAAUUCGUAGAUAUUCGGAAGAACACCAGUGGCGAAGGCGACUGACUGGACAAGUAUUGACGCUGAGGUGCGAAAGCGUGGGGAGCAAACAGGAUUAGAUACCCCAGUAGUCCCUGUCUCUUAUAC